GGGCGAUUAGCUCAGCUGGCUAGAGCGUCUCGCUUACACCGAGAAGGUCACUGGUUCGAGUCCGGUAUCGCCCA
rnacentral:tRNA from 1 species